rnacentral:tRNA from 1 species
AGGGUUAAGAGAUGCUUGGUCUUGAAAACCGGUAAGGCAGCGAUGUCUUCGUGGGUUCGAAUCCCACACCCUCCG